UAUGUGGAUACUUUACUGUCUAUUUAUUCUGAUAAAGAAGAUGAAUCAGGCGUUGAUAGUAAUGUCUCAUCUUUAUCACCUUCGUUUAAAGGGAAAAAACCUUUCAAAAGUCUAAAACACAUCUCAAGGAUAAAUCAAGAUGAAGUUAGUUCGAGCUCACCAAAUCCGUCACCCAAAAGACGCAAGAAUUCAACAGGCGAAACACAGCAAAAGAAAAAACCAAGCCGUGCCCAACAUGUGGCCUCACAGCAUCUGAAAUUCCGACAUCAAAGUCAUUCUUCGAGUCCAUGAAGAGAAGUAUCGAAUACAGAAUCAGGGAAGAGGCUGAGAAGGCUAGAGAAGUUAUUGCUGCCACUGGGAACUCUGGACAUAUUCAACAAAUCAUGCAGGAAGGGAAUAUUGAUGAUCUGAUGAUCUGAACAGUUUCCUUCAAUUUGAGAACAACUUGAAAAAAAGACUCAGACUGGGUCAAA